rnacentral:rRNA from 1 species
UACGUAGGGUGCAAGCGUUGUCCGGAAUUAUUGGGCGUCAAGAGCUCGUAGGCGGUCUGUCGCGUCGGCUGUGAAAACUCGGGGCUCAACCCCGAGCCUGCAGUCGAUACGGGCAGACUAGAGUGCGGUAGGGGUGACUGGAAUUCCUGGUGUAGCGGUGGAAUGCGCAGAUAUCAGGAGGAACACCGAUGGCGAAGGCAGGUCACUGGGCCGCAACUGACGCUGAGGAGCGAAAGCAUGGGGAGCGAACAGG